CGGGGGCUCUGAGGGAGGCGGUGCCCCACCUCGCAUCGCUCCAUCCCGUCCGUCGGCCGUGCCCGACGGCCCCCGCAGGGUUCUCCCAUCAAAGUGUGUGCUCGCUCUGGACGGCAGCCACGGGACGCCGGCUGAGGACAGCCGGACCCUCCCCUGGCCGCCGCCGGCCAGGCCUCUGGAAGUUUCUCCUGGCCCUUGACCGGCCGGGCCUGCGCGAGCGGCGCGGCGGGGGUGUUGUCCUGAGCAGGCCCGAGGAGCCAGCGAUCUUCCCGGCGUUUCGCAAGACUCCCUUGGGAGCACGGGCAGCUGGAGAAUGCUCUUGUCAACAGCUGCGGUGUGAGCAAAGCGUUGCGAUCCGGAGCAGUCUCGAUGUUUCAGUCUUUGAAAAUCGGUCAGGAUUCCAGUCCCUGAAAAAGUUAAUGAUUAAGAAAGAUGACAUUUCAGUUCCACACUGCAAAUUCAUUGCUGAGAGUGUCAAAGGAGGCUGUUCCUAAUGAGUGAGGAAAGUACCAGCCAUCACUGAUGCAUGCCCGAGUUUAUUCCUCCCGUAUGCUUUAGUAUUCUUUAGUUCUUAAAUUUCAUUUAGGCUCAAGUAGGCUGUGAGGUAUAUUACACUUCUAGUUACAUCUAUAAACGACUGGGCAGACUGGCUAGAUGAAAUGAUAAAAAGAUGAUAAAAAGAUACAACAUCUAGUUCAGUACCUUGUUUCAGGCACAGCUGAAUAAUGAGCUGCUAAUAAGACAAGAUUUGGAACUUUGGAAAAAAACAGUGGAACAUAGAAUAUUUCUCAUGGAUUUAGUACCAGUCUCUGAUUGGCGUAAUAUCCAGCAAAAAUGUUGUUGCUUGCUAAUUCUGAAAAUAUUGUAUUUUUUCUAUGCAACAGAGUAAAGCUAGAUGGGCACUUUAAAAUGGUAAUUUUUUGUUUUGCUCAGCUUUCCUAAAAACAAAAUUGUCUGUACAUACAAAAUUUAUGAUAGGUAUUUAUCUAGGCUGCACAUUAAAUUUAUUACUUUAUGUCCCUGCUUGCAGCUGAUGCUCUCUAGUAACCUUAGAUACUGUAGAUAUUGCUGUUUUCUCCCAGUGGUGAUUUCUGCACUCAAUAGACUCAGUCCUUUCCAUUUUCUCCUACAGGAUUUUUGGUGUUCAAACCCUUCUUAAGGUAUCAGGACAAAUGACAUCUGGGCAAUAAGUUUCACAGUUUUUUCAGUAUGAUAAAAGCAUUACAGUUGGUCACUUGCUUUCUCACCAGAUAAUAAUAAGUAUGUUUGUGUUUACAUUGAUUCUGCAUUACGGUUUGAGACUGUACAAGUACAAUUUGAUUGUAUAAUUGGUAGAUUUCAGUGUGUAUGGAUAUGUCUGCUUCAGCAUCCUCAAAAAAUUGGUGUUCAGCAACAAAACUUUAAGUGGAACCAGGCUCUAACUAGAAGGACUGAAAAAAUUAAUAUUUUUUCUCUUGUUCUAGCAUGUCUUCUGUCUCUUGUAACAUCUCUUAAGUUCUGCUGCUAAAUAGACAUUCCAGAAGUAGACUCUCCACUCCUCCCUCCCCCAGCCAGCAGAAAGCUUCUUAUGACAUUCUUAUUCUGAAAUCCUAUAGCCUGAAGCGAUUCCUGGUACAUUGCCAGAACUUGUAGAACAACCUCCCACUUGCCUUCAAAACCAGUCCUGUGACUGGCUUCACUUACACAUGACAUGCAUUGUAACUCUUCAAAUAAGCAAGAGAUUGUGCAUUUCACAGACUAUUUAUGGAUUCAGUGUAAAAGUAUGUACACAUAUCAGAAAAGUUGUGUAGAAAAAUAAAAUAAUUUGUUUGCAACUGGACUUAAUUUUU
ensembl:lncRNA uncharacterized LOC107215841